rnacentral:rRNA from 1 species
UAAACUAGGAUUAGAUACCCUAUUAUUAGAAAUAAUGCAUUGUUAGUAAAUAAUAUUUAUGAAAACAAAAAAUCAUGGCGGUAUCUUAAGCUUUUCAGAGGAAUUUGCUCUUUAAUGGAUAAAACACCCAAAUCUUACUAAAAUUGGUUAAGACAGUUUGUAUACCACUAUUUAAGUAAUUAUUAAUUAUAAUUGCUGUAAAUUUUAAACAAAAAAAAAGUUAAGUCAAGGUGCAGCAUAAAUUUUAGGAUGAAGUGAAUUACAAUGCUUUUUAGAAAAGCGAUUUAAAAAAAAAUUAGGAUUUGAAAGUAAAAAUUUUAAUAGAAUGAUUAUUUGAAUUAAGCUCUGAGAUAUGUACAUAUCGCCC